CCCUUAGACGUUCUGGGCCGCACGCGCGCUACACUGACACAGGCAACGAGCUUUCCUUUACCGAAAGGUAUGGGUAAUCUUUUGAAACUGUGUCGUGCUGGGGAUAGAUCCUUGCAAUUUUUGAUCUUAAACGAGGAAUUCCUAGUAAGCGCGAGUCAUCGACUCGCGUUGAUUACGUCCCUGCCCUUUGUACACACCGCCCGUCGCUACUACCGAUUGAAUGGCUUAGUGAGGCCUCAGGAUCCGCGCUUAAUGUGUGGAGAAUUUGGACAAACUACGUCAUUUAGAGGAAGUAAAAGUCGUAACA
rnacentral:rRNA from 1 species